UACGAAGGGGGCUAGCGUUGCUCGGAUUGACUGGGCGUAAAGGGCGCGUAGGCGGUUCGUACAGUCAGACGUGAAAUUCCUGGGCUCAACCUGGGGGCUGCGUUUGAUACGUGCGGACUUGAGUGCGGAAGAGGGUCGUGGAAUUCCCAGUGUAGAGGUGAAAUUCGUAGAUAUUCGGAAGAACACCAGUGGCGAAGGCGACUUACUGGACACAUAUUGACGCUGAGGUGCGAAAGCGUGGGGAGCAAACAGG
rnacentral:rRNA from 1 species